rnacentral:lncRNA from 1 species
AUCACAUGGCAAAAUCAAAUAACAAAACGCAUCAAAAACCAAUGGACAAUAACUGUCAUAUUCCUGACUUGGUACAGGCAUUUUCAAAUUAGAAAAUGGUGGAUUAAACCUGGUUCUAUAGCGCUAACCCUCUCACUUUAAUGACAGUCGCAUCAAUUUCCGAUAUAUUUACAUUGAUGCGUUAAAUAAACAGACACAAUAAAUAAAAUAGUCAAAAUAUGGGUACAUCAGUCAUCAUCGUAUAACAAUUUUAAAAGGAACAAUUUAAC